UUAUUCAAACAUAGUUCUCCC
ensembl:piRNA 21ur-2420 ncRNA